AUACUUAUUUGGCAGGGGAGACACCAUGAUCAGCCAGGUUCAGGUUCAGCCAGGGCGAGGCUCUGCCAUUGCACUCUGGCUGUGCUGAUCCCGGCGAAUUCCCCAAAUGUGGGAAUCUUGACUGCAUAAUUCAUGGUAGGGGUACUGCGUUCAUGCUCUCCCCUG